GACAGAGGUGCCAAGCGUUAGGCGGAAUCACUGGGCUUAAAGCGUGUGUAGGCGGGUCGUUAAGUACCUUGUGAAAUCCCCCGGCUCAACCGGGGAACGGCUGGGUAUACUGGCGAUCUUGAGCCACCUAGGGGCAGUCGGAACAAGUGGUGGGAGCGGUGAAAUGCGUAGAAUAUCACUUGGAACGCCAAUGGUGAAAACAGACUGCUGGGGGUGUGACUGACGCUGGAGACACGAAAGCCAGGGGAGCAAACGGG
rnacentral:rRNA from 1 species